UGGGGAAUUUUGGACAAUGGGCGAAAGCCUGAUCCAGCAAUGCCGCGUGUGUGAAGAAGGCCUUCGGGUUGUAAAGCACUUUUGUCCGGAAAGAAAUCCUUGGCUCUAAUACAGUCGGGGGAUGACGGUACCGGAAGAAUAAGCACCGGCUAACUACGUGCCAGCAGCCGCGGUAAUACGUAGGGUGCAAGCGUUAAUCGGAAUUACUGGGCGUAAAGCGUGCGCAGGCGGUUUGCUAAGACCGAUGUGAAAUCCCCGGGCUCAACCUGGGAACUGCAUUGGUGACUGGCAGGCUAGAGUAUGGCAGAGGGGGGUAGAAUUCCACGUGUAGCAGUGAAAUGCGUAGAGAUGUGGAGGAAUACCGAUGGCGAAGGCAGCCCCCUGGGCCAAUACUGACGCUCAUGCACGAAAGCGUGGGGAGCAAAACAGGAUUAGAUACCCUGGUAGUCCACGCCCUAAAACGAUGUCAACUAGUUGUUGGGGAAUUCAUUUCCUUAGUAACGUAGCUAACGCGUGAAGUUGACCGCCUGGGGAGUACGGUCGCAAGAUUAAAACUCAAAUGAAUUG
rnacentral:rRNA from 1 species